AUUGAACGCUGGCGGCAGGCCUAACACAUGCAAGUCGAGCGGCAGCGACUUAACUGAACCUUCGGGGAACGUUAAGGGCGGCGAGCGGCGGACGGGUGAGUAAUGCCUGGGAAUAUGCCCUGAUGUGGGGGAUAACUAUUGGAAACGAUAGCUAAUACCGCAUAAUCUCUUCGGAGCAAAGAGGGGGACCUUCGGGCCUCUCGCGUCAGGAUUAGCCCAGGUGGGAUUAGCUUGUUGGUGAGGUAAUGGCUCACCAAGGCUACGAUCCCUAGCUGGUCUGAGAGGAUGAUCAGCCACACUGGAACUGAGACACGGUCCAGACUCCUACGGGAGGCAGCAGUGGGGAAUAUUGCACAAUGGGGGAAACCCUGAUGCAGCCAUGCCGCGUGUGUGAAGAAGGCCUUCGGGUUGUAAAGCACUUUCAGUAGGGAGGAAGGUAGUGUAGUUAACACCUGCAUUAUUUGACGUUACCUACAGAAGAAGCACCGGCUAACUCCGUGCCAGCGGCCGCGGUAAUACGGAGGGUGCGAGCGUUAAUCGGAAUUACUGGGCGUAAAGCGCAUGCAGGCGGCCUGUUAAGUCAGAUGUGAAAGCCCGGGGCUUAACCUCGGAAUUGCAUUUGAAACUGGCAGGCUAGAGUCUUGUAGAGGGGGGUAGAAUUUCAGGUGUAGCGGUGAAAUGCGUAGAGAUCUGAAGGAAUACCAGUGGCGAAGGCGGCCCCCUGGACAAAGACUGACGCUCAGAUGCGAAAGCGUGGGGAGCAAACAGG
rnacentral:rRNA from 1 species